AGAGUUUGAUCAUGGCUCAGGAUGAACGCUGGCGGCGUGCCUAACACAUGCAAGUCGAGCGAUUUACUUCGGUAAAGAGCGGCGGACGGGUGAGUAACGCGUGGGUAACCUGCCCUAUACACACGGAUAACAUACCGAAAGGUAUGCUAAUACGAGAUAAUAUAAGAGAUUCGCAUGGAUUUCUUAUCAAAGCUGAGGCGGUAUAGGAUGGACCCGCGUCUGAUUAGCUAGUUGGUAAGGUAACGGCUUACCAAGGCGACGAUCAGUAGCCGACCUGAGAGGGUGAUCGGCCACAUUGGAACUGAGACACGGUCCAAACUCCUACGGGAGGCAGCAGUGGGGAAUAUUGCACAAUGGGCGAAAGCCUGAUGCAGCAACGCCGCGUGAGUGAUGAAGGCCUUCGGGUCGUAAAACUCUGUCCUCAAGGAAGAUAAUGACGGUACUUGAGGAGGAAGCCCCGGCUAACUACGUGCCAGCAGCCGCGGUAAUACGUAGGGGGCUAGCGUUAUCCGGAUUUACUGGGCGUAAAGGGUGCGUAGGUGGUCUCUUAAGUCAGGAGUGAAAGGCUACGGCUUAACCGUAGUAAGCUCUUGAAACUGGGAGACUUGAGUGCAGGAGAGGAAAGUGGAAUUCCUAGUGUAGCGGUGAAAUGCGUAGAUAUUAGGAGGAACACCAGUAGCGAAGGCGGCUUUCUGGACUGUAACUGACACUGAGGCACGAAAGCGUGGGGAGCAAACAGGAUUAGAUACCCUGGUAGUCCACGCCGUAAACGAUGAGUACUAGGUGUCGGGGGUUACCCCCCUCGGUGCCGCAGCUAACGCAUUAAGUACUCCGCCUGGGGAGUACGCUCGCAAGAGUGAAACUCAAAGGAAUUGACGG
rnacentral:rRNA from 1 species